UUACUCAGCCAUACCACCUGCAGUUCUGACUAGGUAAUCCAUCUGAAGCUAAGCAGGUUUGGGCCUGGCUAGUACUUGGAUGGUAGACCAACUAGGAAAGCUGGGUUGCUGCUGAAA
ensembl:rRNA 5S_rRNA 5S ribosomal RNA